ACCAGGAUGGCAGAGUGGUUAAGGCGUUGGAGCUUAAGAUCCAAUGUACAAAUUUAUGCGUGGGUUCGAACCCCACUCCUGGUA
rfam:Nematostella vectensis strain CH2 x CH6 NEMVEscaffold_350_Cont24649, whole genome shotgun sequence.